rnacentral:lncRNA from 1 species
UUCUCUACAGAAAUGACAUAAACCUUAACGAAAUAUCACACAAUUCUGCCAUGGGCCUCAUCAGAAAGGUGUUGAGCAUAGGAGUUUUUCUUACCGAGGUUGAAGUUAAUUAAUUAUAUCCAACGAAUGCUUUUAAAAAGAUGACAAGGGUAAUAAAAAGAACUUCUUGAUAAUUUUUAGCAUAUACGAAGACUAAUCCCAACAAGUGGAGGAUCCACCAAUAAGUUAAUGAAAGGAUGACUUGGGAGGUUAGGGCAUUUCCUGCUCAUAUCUAAAGAAACUUUCUUUACACAAGGGAUGCGCUCCCACAAGUUUGGUAAAAUAUUUGUUUGGCCGAGGGCUUCCAACAAAAAUUACUUUAAAUAUAAGAAGCCGAGUAGGCGGGUUGAAUUGCUCAUUAUCAGACAAUCACUUAUCAUCUAGGACUCACAAUCGUUUAGAAAACCCUCAUACCGCUCAGCUAAAGAAAGAUGAUGGAGAGUUGGCAUUCCAGCCCGUUUUAGUGGAGGGGCGUGCUCCUGCAGGAAUGAUUUGAAAGAUCCAAAACCAAGUGUAAGAGGAGAGGUAGACCAAAAUUAAAAUGACUCUUAUGGUUCUGAAGGAUCUUUUUGUAUUGGAUCUUUCAGUAGUUGGAGGAUGGGCCAAACCGAGUAGCAAAAGUGAAUUCAUAUAGCUAACUUUUAUUUGAAAUGAGGCCCUUGUUUGAGCCCCAUUUUUGCCAAGAAAAUGC